ACAAACUGUUGUGUUGUGAUGUUUUACCCGGUAAAAAAGCAUUACUUGUGGGUUAUUAUUUGUUGUUAUAGUCAUAACCAGAAGCGGCUGGUCUAUUGAGGGCAAUGGGGCGUGGCCCCACCAUGAGCGAAGAAGAAAAAAAACAUUUUACAAAUAGUCAAUAUUUGUGUUUUUGAAACAUGGACUAGAUAUACCCGGUAAUAUUUGUAAAUUAAGAUAUCAGCACAAAAUGUAUGCUUUUCCUGUCCUCUCCGCAUUUCUCAGCAGGGUUAUUUUCGCCUUUCUUCCCUAUGCCAAAUAGCAAUGGAUUGCGAAGAGCGUGGCGUAUCAUCUCAGAGUGGCUUACUGCACUCAUCCCCUUUGCUGGUAAGUGCAGCAAACAUGCAUACGGACAACAGAAGCGAUGAGAAAUAGUAAAAGAGAAAAAGAGCUUCUCAAUCUCUCCACCUGGGACAGUAAUGUCCUAUGAGAGAAAGAGGGGGGGAGAGUGUGUGUGUGAUCCAGCAAGGCAGGCGACAGAAAGACAGAACAGCUUCGGAGUGUGUUGCCAUGAAAGAGGAAGCACAUUGGUCAUUUUGAUGGUUAUUUCUGAACAUCACCAUAAGGCAUGUGUCAGAUGGACUAUUAGGCCAGAACAUAUGCGCAAACACGCAUCCCCAUACGCACGCAUACGUCCCCAUCCGUGCACCAGCGCGGACACACACAGGGUGUGUAAAUGGCCCGUGCUACGCGGUUCUGUCCUAUGGGGUCUUCCUAAGUGGGUGAUUAUGUGUAAAUGGUCAUGUAAUGACGUGUUGCCUUGCGCUAAUGUGCCCAUCAAAUGUUCACGGCUUCGACAGAGCCGUGUCCCCAAAGACAGCAUAAUGGACACUCUAAGCGCUCGCUGGUCCUUGGAAACAGAAGGGUAAUGUGGAUGAGCAGCAGCAACAGGAGGUGAGACAUCGAGCUUGGUGAGCAAUCAGUUCCAGUAUGCCUGGAUCGGAAUCCUCUAAAGGAUAAAAGAGUGAAUGGAUGGGAUGUUUUGGACACCAGUUUUGGACGGGUUUCACUGACCGCCAUCCAUUUGUUCACAAAGUAAGGUUUGAAUUUCCUGCAGACAGAUUGCUUGGAGUAGUUGUAAUGUUACCAUACGAUGCAAAGGAAAAUCCCCUGAAAGGUUAGUAAGUGGAUGUUGACCAUGAUUAUUUGCUCAGUUCUUGGUACAUUCAUACAUUCAUUUCAAGAUUAGAUUUUGCCAUUUGCUCCCUCUAAAUAAACAUUUUAGGUAUCAAAUGUGGUUGAUUAUGGGUUAAAAAAAGUCUAGAAUUUGCAGUUAAGUUAAAUCUGAACUAAAGAAUCUCUGCGUAACAUCCAGCAAGAAAAAGUAUUCUCAUCUAAUUACGUUGGACUUUCCAAAAUCCCAAACCCUCAAAACAGACACAGCUCUUCUCUUGGGCACACGCUAUGUUUGCGCAUCACUGGUCUCUUGUUGAUUCCUUCUGCAUCGCUUUUUUUCCGUGUUUUCAUGUAUUUACUGAGUUUCUUCUUGUAAUGUUGGGCGAGCUGCACCCAGCAUGCUGUUCGGGGUAAUUUUAUAAUAAUUUUGUAAUUUUUAUAAAUGUACAAUUCAAUCCGGAGAGACAAUUCUUUAUUAUAACAGGUAUAAUAUGAUAUUGCAAGUUGUUUGGGGCUUGGACUCCAUCCUGCCGCAGGACAGACCCGGGUCCGGGAUCUCGAGCCGAGACGAGGCAUAUCCCCCCCUUGGGAGUCCAGACACUGGUGGUGGUGGUGGUAGAGCCCAAGUUGCAUAACUCUCCAGCUAUGCCCGGUUCUGCUGUAGAUUGGAGGUGUCAGGGGUGCUGGCCGUGCGCCCCCAGGGAGAGAGGAGGCCACCAGGGAACGGCACAGCCUGUCCAGUCUUCCUGACUGAAUUUUCGCCUAAGCUUCAUUUCAAUCCGGAGAGACUUGUUGAAAUUUGAACAAUGCUUUAUUGUAACAGGUAUAAUAUGAUAUUGCAAGUUGUUUGGGGCUUGGACUCAAUCCUGCCGCAGGACAGACCCGGGGCCGGGAUCUCGAGCCGAGACGAGGCAUACCCCCCAAAC
ensembl:lncRNA